AUGUAUUCCUCACAUUAGUUGAUCUGUGAGGAAUAGUAUUCAUCACAAUUGUAAAUUAGUGAGGAAUUGUCAUUCUUUGCAAUUAAUAAUCAGUAAGGAAUUUAUAUUCCUCGCAAUUACCAAUUUGUGAGGAAAUUGAGAAUCCUCACAUAUUGUAAUCUGUGAGGGGGUUUAAGCGAGGAAAAUUUGCGACGAACAGAUUUCCUCGCUCAUUAGUUUAAGCGAGGAAUAUAGAUAUUUUGCAAGGAAAUUUAUUCGUCGCAUUUUACGUUUUUUGUUGUAGUGAGAUCUUAUGAGAAAACACAACAACCAAAAAUAUGAUUAGCAGUUUCAUUAUCGUUAUUGCAAAGCGGACAAGAAUUAUCAUUGAUGUAGCUGAACCUAGAAAGUCUAUCCUUAGUUUUCAAUCUGCCUCUUAAGAGAAGCCAAAUAAAUAUUUUUACUUUUGGUGGAAUAUUCAAUCGCCACAUUUUCCUUAAAAGAUCUGCAUUAGCAUGAUCAUUUUGAUCCUUACCUUUCAACCAAGUUGCUGUUUUGAUUGAGAAAUUUCCAUUAGAAGACGGUCCUCAAAUAAGUUCAUCUUCCUGAUCACACACAGGAAUAGGAAUGCCCAAUAUCUGGUUUACAAUGCUAUGAUCUAGUACCUGCAAGAGUUUUUGCUUAUUCCAACACUUGUUAGUCAUAAAAUCAGCUACGGAAUCAUUCCAAUAGCCUUUUGACUAUCAUUGAGAAGAUUACUUAAAGGAAAAGGGAAAACCCAGUUGAAGGAACUUCUUCCAUUGCCAACAGUCCAUCUCAACCCUUGAGUAGGAAGAUCUCUGCAAUCAAGGAUUCCCUUCCAAGCCGAAGAGCUAGCUUGCUUCUUUUUUGCUUGAAAGAAAUUAACCUUUCUCAAAUAUUGGGAAAAUGCCCAUUUAAUACUAAUUAUAGGGACUAAUUGCCAAUUCCAAUGAAAAUCUGUUUACUAUGCCCAAUUACACAAACCUUAAGACAAAGACUAAAAUAUCUUUAACUUUAUUAAUAACCAUCUCAUCUCUCCUCUCACCCACCGAUCUCAUCUCUAUCUUCUCUCACCCACCGAUCAGAUC
rnacentral:lncRNA from 1 species